rnacentral:rRNA from 1 species
UACGAAGGGGGCUAGCGUUGCUCGGAAUCACUGGGCGUAAAGCGCACGUAGGCGGAUCUUUAAGUCAGGGGUGAAAUCCUGGAGCUCAACUCCAGAACUGCCUUUGAUACUGGGGAUCUCGAGACCGGAAGAGGUAAGUGGAACUGCGAGUGUAGAGGUGAAAUUCGUAGAUAUUCGCAAGAACACCAGUGGCGAAGGCGGCUUACUGGUCCGGUUCUGACGCUGAGGUGCGAAAGCGUGGGGAGCAAACAGG